CUCUCCCACAUCGCUGCCCCGGCCCCCUUCUUCUCUAUCUCGACUCCCGCAGUCAUGCCGCCGGAAGCCCCAUCCCAGCACCUCACCAGCCUCCCAAGCCUCCCCAGCCCCACUGCUUGCCGCCGCAGCUCACGUGUCCUCUCCCCGUUCUAUUCCUCCUCUGAAGCAGUCGUCCCACACCUCCAAUUGCCGCCACGGGCAAACCCUAGGUCCUGUUCUGUGCUCAAGGAAGCACUGUUCUAGGCGGGGAUCGGGGCCGUAGAGUCGUUGCACAAGAGGACGAGCCGACGCUGAGAAGGCACCGCGGGAGGCACGGGGUCAGGAGGAGUGCUUGGAGGCGCUGCUCGAGGCGGGGGUCGUGUGACGCGGAAUUAGCCUGUGUAGAGGAGGCAUGGGGACGAGAAGCUCUGGCCUGUGGGGCAGCACUGCGAGGGAGAGGGAGGCGCUUGGCUUGCUCUAAGUAAAAUCUUCCUGCCCGUCCUUCCCUAGCGACGAGGAUAGGCGCUUCCUCCUCAGGCCGGCCAACCACCAAAUACAUGCUCUUCAUCUUCUGUUCUUCCUCUAUUUCUUGGCCGCACUGAUCCAGCGCCUUGGGACUUUAAGAUUGCAGAGAUAGUAUUUCUUUCCUAGGGAUUUUCAGUUUUUCCGUAGUAGCAAGAGAUGAUUGCUAGAUGUGAAGCAUCUCAUUUCUUGCAUAUGUGCAUAAUAUUUUUCCUGCAAUUGAAGUAUACCAGAUCGCAGUCGCCUUAAAUUUGCAGGCUCUGCCGCCACUGGCCUGGUGAGGGCCACCAUCAGCUAUGUCCGUUGUCCCUAGGCAUACCUGCCACAGUUGUUAUGCCACGUAUCAAGAUUAUGAACUCUUCCUUCUGGCUGAGGUUAUGCAAUUCUCUGAAGAAUGCCCCUCAAGGUGCAGGUAAAAGUAUAUUAUCUAUUUCUGUUACACUUGCAACCAUUGAAUUGUCAUACCUUCAGAUUUUCUUGAUAUAUAUUUCAAAUAGUAUUAAUAUUUUCUGAGGUUAUGCUUGAAACCAUUGAACUGAGGUUAUGCAAUUCUCUGAAGAAUGCCCCUCAAGCUGGAGGUAAAAGUAUAUUAUCUAUUUCUGUUACACUUGAAGCUGUAUGUUCUGUUGAUCAAUAUUUUGUUGUCUAAUGAAAGAUUGUCAAGUGUAUUUUUUUAGAUCAAAAUUUUCAUGUGCAUUUGAGUAGUACUCUUGAGCUUCCGAUUAUUCUGUUUGUCGUCCUAUGUAGGCAUACCUUUUCAGAUAGUCUUAUGUCAAGGUAAGCUAUUCUAAAAUAGAAGCAUACUUGUGUCACAACAAUGUAUAUACACACCGGGUUCCAAAGUAUCAAUAAAGGUGUGCAAAAGUACACAGGUUGAUCUAAUGUUCCCUAAUAGAUUGUAUUUGCACAGAGCCAUAUAUUUAUCAACCAUUUUUGUUGAGCCGUUGAGUAGGGUGAUGCUAUCAACCACUGGGCUCAACACAAGUUCAUUCUAUUCUUUUUCCAGCAUUUCUACUGCUGAAGACCUCUGAAGAAGAUACUUUGCAUAAUAACAUAAAUCUACUUAGAUGAUAAGCCAUCCAUAAUAUUCUUUGUCGUUCAACACAUCUUAUUUUAGUUACAUGUUCAUGUGACAUGAUCUUAUAACAAUGGAAUUGCUACAGAUUUAUAUAUUGAAUGCCAUCUCCCUUCAAAUUAACCGCUGGAGACUUGGAGAAUUUCACUGCUAAACUUUCUAUUGUUGAUCACACAUUUAUGCGCUCAAAACUGUACAUACAUGUUCUGGGAACUAUCUCUUCUUUUUUACUCUCCUUUUGUUGAAAUAGUGAGAUCAAGGAAGAAAACAAAAGUGGACAAGGAUAUCAAGCAAUAUACAGAGGACAUGGAGGCCGGACUACUAUCUGGAGAGGAGAAAGGCCUCAAUUCCGCUGCCAGGGCAUGGAGGGAGGUAUCAGAUUUUGCCAUUUGAUCCAAACAAGAAGGUUGCAAAGCCACGCCAAGGCGACUUAAAGUCCCAGGUGCCUCUGAAAUUGAAGAGAUAGUUGCAGCCAUGUGUUUAUUCGGAAAAUCACAGUGGUCUAAGUUUAGAAAUUGGAAUAGUAGCAUCUGUCAACAUUGACCAGCAGAUUAGCUCGAUGCAGUGUUCUCUAUUACUUCUUAUUUUGUUACAUUAGCCUUCUUGGUACUGGCCUGAGUCACCGAUUUACACGGCCAUAUAGAGAGACUAUGGAGAGAUGAGCCAGCAGCUGAUUUGUACACUAUUGUGUGCAUACAUACACAUGGCCUGUUGAGUAGUGUAGCAGCAAGAGUCUCCCUGUAGGACCGGGGUGUUUUGUCAAGCAUACCAUGUGAUGGAAGUGCGUUUCAUUUUUUUUCUUUUUUACGGAAAGGCAGUGGGAGCUCUUA